rnacentral:rRNA from 1 species
CCCUUAGAUGUUCUGGGCCGCACGCGCGCUACACUGAUGAAUUCAACGAGUUACAACUUUUUGGCUUCCUUGGCCGAGAGGCCCGGGUAAUCUUGUAAACGUUCAUCGUGAUGGGGAUAGAUUGUUGCAAUUUUCAAUCUUCAACGAGGAAUUCCUAGUAAACGCAAGUCAUCAGCUUGCAUUGAUUACGUCCCUGCCCUUUGUACACACCGCCCGUCGCUACUACCGAUUGAACUGGUUUUUGAAGUGUAGAGAUUGGCAGGCAUGGUUUACGUGCAUUGCAAAGAACCACUCUGAAAAAAUCGUUCGAGAAGAAGUAAAAGUCGUAACA